UCUCAAGCGUGAGGUAAGGGCAAUUCGUGGAUGCCUUGGCAUGUACAGGCGAUGAAGGACGUGGCACGCUGCGAUAAGCGCGGGUGAGCUGUGAGCAAGCUUUGACCCCGCGAUUUCCGAAUGGGGAAACCCACCUAUCCCGAUUAAUCCGAACUGUGUGG
rnacentral:rRNA from 1 species